AGAGGUAAACGGGUGGAGUUGAACUGCAAUCUCUGUGAAUUCAGCUGGUGAAAGUGAAUUGAGCUUGGUCAAAUUGGGCAGGGCCCUGAGGUAUGCUUAGCUGCAUGUCCUGAUCUUCGGGUCGGGAUGCGCGUUGCUCUUAUCAAGAGCUGUGCGCCUCGGGUGUCCGGCUGGCUCGUUCGCCAGUGCACUUUCUCAGAGUGAUCACCACGACCGGCGCUGCCGUUCGGCUGUCUGGGUUAAAUCGGUCAUUCAUCGUCCUUGUGGUGUUGUUUGGCCGACACGGCAGGUCACUGGGCGCUCGCUUCGGUGCGCGUUCCGGUAUAUGCUGGCCUGGACGGUUCUGUGCGGUGUGUCGGAGACGGCGGCUUGUGUGUAUAUGCGUGCUCUAUCUGCUGAUGUAUUCUGACUCGGUGGCUGUGUGCUUGUUCAAGCAGGCCCAGUUAUAGUCGGUGUAUGUUGGUGGGUGGUUGCGUGUGUGACACUUCAUGGGGCCUAUAGUCUGUGGUGUUGUGGUAGACUGUCCAUCCGACCCGUCUUGAAACACGGACCAAGGAGAGUAACAUGUGCGCGAGUCAUUGGGCGUAACGAAACCCAAAGGCGCAGUGAAAGUGAAGGUUUGGCUUGUCCAGACUGAGGUGAGAUCUUGUCGUUUCUCAUGCGUGGUACCACCAAGCUUGGAGCGGCAGGCGCAUCACCGGCCCGUCCCAUGACGUAGUCACUGUCUCCGGAUGGUGCGCCGUCGGGGCGGAGCAUGAGCGUACAUGUUGAGACCCGAAAGAUGGUGAACUAUGCUUGCGCAGGUUGAAGCCAGAGGAAACUCUGGUGGAGGACCGCAGCGAUUCUGACGUGCAAAUCGAUCGUCAAACGUGAGUAUAGGGG
rnacentral:rRNA from 1 species